GCGCACUGCAGUCAGUCUUAACCCACUGUUUAGUGGAGAGCAAAUACUGUAAAUAAAAAAUCCACUAAAUUAGUGGAUAAAAAACAAUUCGCAUAUUUUUAUAAUUUUGUCUUUCAUUUAACAAUCUGGUGACACGCUAUUAAAGACAGUUCUGAGUUACAAAAGUCCGACUCAAGGACAUUUAAAACUAUCGAUUUUUUGUGAGUAAUUAGACCACACAGCUGAUUACAAAAACCAUCGGCAUUCGUCAUGGAAUAAGCAGACCUCUACUCUUCGAUCAAGAAGAUGUGUACCCCCGUCGGUAUAUACGAGUACAACCCAAAGGAUCUGAUCGGACAUGGGGCCUUUGCAGUUGUAUACAAGGGUCGACUUAAAGCGGCCCCGCACAGUGUGGUUGCCAUCAAAGCGAUUGCAAAAAAGAACCUAGCAAAAUCACAAAAUCUUCUUGGUAAAGAAAUCAAAAUUUUAAAGGAACUAACCCAGUUGGCGCAUAGCAAUGUGGUGGCUCUCCUUGACUGUAAGGAGACCGCCCAGCAGGUGUUCCUUGUUAUGGAGUACUGUAACGGGGGAGAUCUCGCAGAUUAUUUAAAUGCUAAAGGGACAUUGACAGAAGACACUAUUCAACUGUUCUUACGUCAGUUAGCUGGAGCCAUGUACGCGAUUACAAGUAAGGGAAUAGUGCACAGAGAUCUUAAACCUCAAAACAUACUUCUAGCACACGACGGUAGAACCAGGAAUCCCGCGCCUGCAGAUAUAUGGUUAAAAAUUGCGGAUUUCGGGUUUGCAAGAUUUUUGCAAGAUGGGACUAUGGCAGCUACGCUCUGUGGUUCACCUAUGUAUAUGGCGCCUGAGGUGAUCAUGAGCCUGCAGUACGAUGGUAAAGCUGAUCUCUGGUCCCUGGGAACUAUUGUGUUUCAGUGUCUAACUGGGAAAGCACCAUUCCAGGCACAGACCCCCCAGGCCCUGAAGCAGUUCUACGAGAAGAAUAGUAAACUUGCUCCUAGACUUCCAACAGGUAUCUCGAGCCCCCUGGCCCACCUCCUCACCAACCUGCUGAAGAGAGAUGCCAGGGAAAGGAUGGAGUUCGAUUCUUUCUUCCAUCAUCCAUUCCUGGCUGAACCAAGUCCAGUUGAACCGGCUGCAGGAGUUCAGCACUCCGAGGGAAUGAAAAUUCCAGAGGGUCGGAGGCAAGAUGACGGUAGGAGGGAGAUGGAGGGUCGGAGGCUUGAGGACGGCGGGAAGCUGGAGGGAUCUCCGGUUCCAGGGAUGCUGCCUCCGUCUCCUGCUAUCACUACAGUGGUUAUGCCAUCCCAGGUUCAGAAGAUGGAGACAAGUGAUAUGAGUAGUCCAGGGGGUGGACAAGGGAAGGAGGAGAGGAGGAGAGGGGAGGAGAAUAGUUCUCCAGAUAUGGAUCAGGAGUUGGACUACGUAGUAGUGCCUAACAGUAUGGUUGGGGAUUCAACAGCCAGGAAUAAGAAUACGGGUGUUUCUACUUUAACCGGAAAGAGAUUGGGUCGACCUGGAUCUCUGCCGGUCAACUGUAAGACCAAUCCUUCAGAACCUAUCCCGGUUCCGACCCAGCGAGCUGCUUACGCAGCAAUCCAGAACUCCUUGGUCACCUCUAGAGGAAACCUGGACGAGAAGACCAGCGUCUCCGCCAUGUCAGGAGUCAGCUCCGCCUCCGGGGGCUCCACCCUAGGCCCACUCCCAGAGGACGAGACGGUUGAUGUUCUGCAACCGUCUCCCGCCGUUCUUCGUCGACCUCGAACAACCUCCCUGACCUCCCCCGCCUCCUCUCCCCGCUCCCCUAACAAACAGUUCGCCAGCAAGUCUCGGAGGGUGUCCGCCCCUCCUGCCUCCGCCCCUGAUGUAAUUUCCAUGUCUCCGCCCAACAUCCAGUUCUCUAUGGGAACACCCCCUGUUCCCCACCGCCGCCGAACCAGUAGCGGAAGUAGCAGUUCCGCCUGCGGGAACUCUCCGCCAAACACCUCCUGGACAGUUUCUCCUCCGCACUCUCAACCCUGGACCAUAUCUCCUAGAUCAUCUCCUCUCCGCCAUUCAAGAUCUGGCAGGUUUACACCCCCCUCCCUUCCGCCAAUACUUGGCUCACCCAACCAAUGGUCGGAGAACUCAGAGAACAACAACUCCGACCUACACAGGGCUAAUACAGACACCCAGCUUGUUCCCAGCUCAGCUCCCCGAAACAAGGUAGUGUUGAACUACUCCCCCUCCCUCCCCACCAAUCUCUCCUCCACCCCCUCCAGGAGAUCCUCAGGAUGUUUUGACAAGGAGAAUCAGUAUCCAGGGUGCCCCCUGCCCCCUCCUGAUCUCUCUGAAGAGACUCUCCUGGCUCCUGAACAUAAUGAAGUCUUGUCUAAACUUAGAUUUAUCUCUAUGCUCGUUGACACAAUUAUAGGCGUUGCUCGAAGCAAAGCUGCCCCUCUCUCAGGACUGACUGAUUCAACACGACUACCCCCAGAUGGAGGUGACAGCGCACUACAGCGGAGGUUACAGCAGCUGUUAUUGUAUAUGCGCUGUUUACAGCUGUUGUCACAGACAUUGGAUUAUGCGCGAGCAGAGCUCAAGGCUAAACGUUUGAAACCUUCAACAACUGUCAAAAACACACUGGCUACCCUCAACGAAAGGUUUCGCCACUGUUUAUCGAUGAGUAAGAUGUUAAAUGCUGAGAAUAUUCUCUCUGAGGCAGGAAUAGAUCCUAGUGAUACUACCCUCACAGCAGAUAGAUUGUUGUACAACCAUGCAAUAGAACAGUGUCAGACUGCUGCAUUAGAUGAACUAUUUGAUAAUCCAGGAGAAUGUGUUCAGAGGUAUCAGGCUGCUCACGUUCUACUUCACGCACUUCAAUUCCAAACCAGUUCUCAGGAGGAUAAGGCCACCCUGAACAAGUACAAAGACGCUGUGGAGAAACGACUCCAUAUUCUAGAGGAGCAGGGUUAUGUUUACGCAUACGAAACCAUUCUAAACUAGAUGCGUCAAUCUCAGCUAGAUGCGUCAAUCGGAGAUGCGUCAUUCUUCAAUGUUGCUUCAGCUAGUUAAAAUUACAUUUUUCUUCAAUCUUGAAAUUUUUUUAGAAGAUUUCAUCUUUCUAAUUUCUCUCAUUGAAAACAGAAAUAUGUCUAUAUUAGCAUAAUGCUUGGUUUCAUGGAUUUUCGCACGAGCACAUUCAUGUUACUAUUCUCCUUUUUUAAUUAUUCUGUAGUAGUUGUACACAAUAAUACAUGUUUAUUCAUACCGCCUUGUAUGUACUUCAAGACGUUGUACAGUGUACAGACAGUAGUAUACUGUACACACCUUAGUUUGUACCCUCAGUUUAAUAUUCAUCCUGUUUAUUCAUUCUGGUUUUUUGUUGGAACUUUAAUGUUACUUUAAACUUGUCUUUCUUCAACCAUACAUAUAAAUGGUUUCAUUAUUGUUCCGUAUAUGUUACUAAUACUAGUAUAUGAGCUUUAAAACAAGAAAACAAAAUAAAAAUUGUAAAAUUUG
rnacentral:misc_RNA from 1 species